UGCAGGCAUUCUCUCAAUCACACUUC
rnacentral:piRNA from 1 species